CCUACGGGAGGCAGCAGUGGGGAAUCUUGCGCAAUGGGCGAAAGCCUGACGCAGCAACGCCGCGUGCGGGAGUGAAGGCCUUCGGGCUGUAAACCGCUUUCAGCAGGAACGAAAAUGACGGUACCUGCAGAAGAAGGAGCGGCCAACUACGUGCCAGCAGCCGCGGUGACACGUAGGCUCCAAGCGUUGUCCGGAUUUAUUGGGCGUAAAGAGCUCGUAGGCGGUCUAAUAAGUCGGGUGUGAAAACUCUGGGGCUCAACCCGGAGACGCCAUCCGAUACUGUUAUGACUUGAGUUCAGGAGGGGAGCGGGGAAUUCCUAGUGUAGCGGUGAAAUGCGCAGAUAUUAGGAGGAACACCGGUGGCGAAGGCGCCGGCUCUGGGACUGAAACUGACGCUGAGGAGCGAAAGCAUGGGUAGCAAACAGGAUUAGAUACCCUGGUAGUCCAUGCCGUAAACGGUGGGCACUAGGUNUGGGUUUACACUACGAAAUCCGCGCGUCNCUAACGCAUUAGUCGCCCGCGNGGAGGUACGGUCGCAGAACUAAACUACAAUAGAGUAGACGCGNGAGACGCGCCGACGACGACGACGAGGGAGAGG
rnacentral:rRNA from 1 species